ensembl:lncRNA
GGUCCGGCCAGCUCGAGAGGCGCCAUUUCGGCCGGACGACCCCAGAAACCUAAAGCACUUGGCGCCCUUGCUGCUCUCAGCCCUGAGCGUGGAAACACAGCCAGCUUUUCCUCCUUGAAGUCUCAUUCUUGGGCUUCGGGACCGCUGCGGCAGUGACGUCAGCGGACCUCUCCAGCCCAGUCCGCCCAGCUACGUCACUGCCCGCAUCUCGGUGGAGCAGGUAGCAAGGGCUCCGCGGCAGCUUUUGAGUUUUAGGAUGUGGAAGAGGUGAGGAGCUUCUGAUCUGUUUGUGACAGUACUUCUCAACCAGAGCCCUAGGGAAGAAGAAAGAAGGUGCAGAGUGGGCAGCAACUGGG